GACAGAGGGUGCAAACGUUGUUCGGAAUUACUGGGCGUAAAGCGCGUGUAGGCUGCUCAGAAAGUUGGAUGUGAAAGCCCUGGGCUUAACCUAGGAAGUGCAUUCAAAAACUACUGAGCUGGAGUCCUGGAGAGGAAGGCGGAAUUCUCGGUGUAGAGGUGAAAUUCGUAGAUAUCGAGAGGAACACCGGUGGCGAAGGCGGCCUUCUGGACAGUGACUGACGCUGAGACGCGAAAGCGUGGGGAGCAAACAGG
rnacentral:rRNA from 1 species